rnacentral:rRNA from 1 species
AUUGAACGCUGGCGGCAGGCCUAACACAUGCAAGUCGAGCGAGUGGCGGACGGGUGAGUAAUGUAUGGGGACUGCCCGAUAGAGGGGGAUAAAUAGUGGGAAAGGUGGCUAAUACCGGAUACUAUCGAAUAACCCAUAUGGGAUUGGCUAGAAGGUGGGGUAAAGGCUAACGUAGGCGACGAGCCUUAGCUGGGAUGAGAGGAUGAUCUGCCACACUGGUACUGAGACACGGCCCAGACUCCUACGGGGCCAGCAGUGGGGAAUCUUGGACAAUGGGCGCAAGCCUGAUGCAGCCAUGCCGCGGGUAUGAAAAAGGCCUUAGGGUUGUAAAGUACUUUAAGCGGGGAGGCGUUACCCGCAGAAGAAGCAACGGCUAACUCCGUGCCAGCCGCCGCGGUAAUAC